UACGGAGGGUGCAAGCGUUGUCCGGAAUCACUGGGAGUAAAGGGUGUGUAGGCGGGGCAGUUAGUCAGAGGUGAAAUCCUGCGGCUUAACCGUAGAAUUGCCUUUGAUACUGCUGUUCUUGAGUCCUGGAGAGGUCAUUGGAAUUUGUGGUGUAGCGGUGAAAUGCGUUGAUAUCACGAGGAACACCAGGGGUGUAGACGGAUGACUGGACAGGUAAUGACGCUGAGGCACGAAAGCGUGGGGAGCAAACAGG
rnacentral:misc_RNA from 1 species